rnacentral:rRNA from 2 species
GAUGAACGCUGGCGGUAUGCUUAACACAUGCAAGUCGAACGGACUCUUCGGAGUUAGUGGCGGACGGGUGAGUAACGCGUGAGAAUCUGGCUUCAGGUCGGGGACAACAGUGGGAAACCGCUGCUAAUACCGGAUGUGCCUAUAUGGUGAAAGAUUAAUUGCCUGAAGAUGAGCUCGCGUCUGAUUAGCUAGUUGGUGUGGUAAGAGCGCACCAAGGCGACGAUCAGUAGCUGGUCUGAGAGGAUGAUCAGCCACACUGGAACUGAGACACGGUCCAGACUCCUACGGGAGGCAGCAGUGGGGAAUUUUCCGCAAUGGGCGAAAGCCUGACGGAGCAAUACCGCGUGAGGGAGGAAGGCUCUUGGGUUGUAAACCUCUUUUCUCAAGGAAUAAGUUCUGAAGGUACUUGAGGAAUCAGCAUCGGCUAACUCCGUGCCAGCAGCCGCGGUAAUACGGAGGAUGCAAGCGUUAUCCGGAAUGAUUGGGCGUAAAGGGUCCGCAGGUGGCAUUGAAAGUCUGCUGUCAAAGAGUGCAGCUCAACUGCAUAAAGGCGGUGGAAACUACAAAGCUAGAGUACGUUAGGGGCAGAGGGAAUUCCUGGUGUAGCGGUGAAAUGCGUAGAGAUCAGGAAGAACACCGGUGGCGAAAGCGCUCUGCUAGGACUGUACUGACACUGAGGGACGAAAGCUAGGGGAGCGAAUGGGAUUAGAUACCCCAGUAGUCCUAGCCGUAAACGAUGGAUACUAGGCGUUGCGCGUAUCGACCCGCGCAGUGCCGGAGCUAACGCGUUAAGUAUCCCGCCUGGGGAGUACGCAGGCAACUGUGAAACUCAAAGGAAUUGACGGGGGCCCGCACAAGCGGUGGAGUAUGUGGUUUAAUUCGAUGCAACGCGAAGAACCUUACCAGGACUUGACAUGUCCGGAACCCUGAUGAAAGUUAGGGGUGCCUUCGGGAGCCGGAGCACAGGUGGUGCAUGGCUGUCGUCAGCUCGUGUCGUGAGAUGUUGGGUUAAGUCCCGCAACGAGCGCAACCCUCGUUCUUAGUUGCCAGCACUUCGGGUGGGCACUCUAAGGAGACUGCCGGUGACAAACCGGAGGAAGGUGGGGAUGACGUCAAGUCAGCAUGCCCCUUACGUCCUGGGCUACACACGUACUACAAUGCUGUGGACAAUGGGCAGCAAGCAGGCAACUGCAAGCAAAUCUCACAAACCAUGGCUCAGUUCAGAUCGAAGGCUGCAACUCGCCUUCGUGAAGGUGGAAUCGCUAGUAAUUGCAGGUCAGCAUACUGCAGUGAAUUCGUUCCCGGGCCUUGUACACACCGCCCGUCACACCAUGGAAGCUGGUAGUGCCCGAAGUCGUUACCCUAACCACUUGUGGGGGGGGACGCCGAAGGCAGGACUGGUGACUGGGGUGAA